UAGGGAAUAUUGCGCAAUGGCCGCAAGGCUGACGCAGCGACGCCGUGUGUGGGAUGAAGGCUCUCGGGUUGUAAACCACUGUCAGGAGGGACGAAUACCUGGCUUCGAAUAGUUGACCAGGGGUGACGGUACCUCCAAAGGAAGCACCGGCUAACUCCGUGCCAGCAGCCGCGGUAACACGGAGGGUGCGAGCGUUGUUCGGAAUCACUGGGCGUAAAGCGCGCGUAGGCGGCCGCGUAAGUCACCUGUGAAAACUCGGGGCUCAACUCCGAGACUGCAGGUGAGACUGCGUAGCUAGAGCUCGGUAGAGGCAAGUGGAAUUCCCGGUGUAGCGGUGGAAUGCGUAGAUAUCGGGAAGAACACCAGUGGCGAAGGCGGCUUGCUGGGCCGAUGCUGACGCUGAGGUGCGAAAGCGUGGGGAGCAAACAGGAUUAGAUACCCCCGUAGUCC
rnacentral:rRNA from 1 species